GACGAACGCUGGCGGCGUGCUUAACUCAUGCCAGUCGAACGGAAAGGCCCUGCUUUUGUGGGGUGCUCGAGUGGCGAACGGGUGAGUAACACGUGAGUAACCUGCCCUUGACUUUGGGAUAACUUCAGGAAACUGGGGCUACUACCGGAUAGGAGCUCCUGCUGCAUGGUGGGGGUUGGACAGUUUCGGCGGUUGGGGAUGGACUCGCGGCUUAUCAGCUUGUUGGUGGGGUAGUGGCUUACCAAGGCUUUGACGGGUAGCCGGCCUGAGAGGGUGACCGGCCACAUUGGGACUGAGAUACGGCCCAGACUCCUACGGGAGGCAGCAGUGGGGAAGAUUGCACAAUGGGCGGAAGCCUGAUGCAGCAACGCCGCGUGCGGGAUGACGGCCUUCGGGUUGUAAACCGCUUUCGCCUGUGACGAAGCGUGAGUGACGGUAAUGGGUAAAGAAGCACCGGCUAACUACGUG
rnacentral:rRNA from 1 species